UUCCUGAUGCUGAUGUGAUGCUCUGAACUGGCUAGGGAACAACAAUCUGAUUGGUGGGAAGUGGAAGAGUCCAGCCCACCGCCUUCUUAAGUUGGCUGGCAUUGUCAAAGAAGGAAAUUGCCAGAAAGAAAUGUAACCCUCUAAGUACAGUAACGUAAACCAGAAGAAUGUGAUUCUGAUGACACUCUUAUCCCAUCCUGUGAACAAACGUUCGGGAGAAGUGAAAGAACCCCAUGGGAUAAAAGGCCCCCUUCUCCAUCAUGAAAAUGUAUCAGUUAAGAAAGUGCCUGCAUCUGGAGUCCUCUGAGCCCCCCACAGAUACAAGUCGAGGGCCGACUUUCCUGUUUGUCCUUUUCUUCCCAUGGAAACAGAAUCCACAGUGGAGCAAAGAUGGUCCUGGAUGCCUUAAGAGGGAAACAUCGAACACCACAUAAAUAAAGGUUGACUUGGUGCAGAAGUGUACAGUGCCAUGUCCCUGCAUCUUCAUGGAGAAAUGUAUUCUUUCCACAUGAGAAGCAACACCGUCCAUGCAAACUGUGACUCCGUCCCACACAGUGCAUAUAAAACUGCAGCCCGGAGCCUCAAGCUCACCUCCGAGAAGCAGGUUUGUAGGCCCACUGGCUGUGUUCUGAGCCUUUCCAUCAAGUUUCCCCUUUGUUCAUUCUUUUUUUCCCCACUGUUCAUAACCCCUAAAUAUUGUUGGGUUUGGUUUUCCCAUUGUGAAGGAUAAUUGAAAAUACAGCAUUCAGCCAAUUUACACAUUGUGUGUGUGUGUGAAUAAGAAACAGUCUCCCAUCAGUGAAAUUCCCAGUGUGUCCUCGGGCCCAGCUCCCCGAGCUUCCCUGUGGUCCUGUCUCAACGACACACUUUUUUCCUUCCUCUGAAGAAUCCUUGUUUACUUAAUCGCAACCUCUCACUACAAAUGCCUCACACAGGGACCCUCUUCCUUCUCAACACGGAGGGUUUCUGCAGUCUUUUCUCCUCUCCCAGUCUAACCCUCUGCUGUUCCUCCUGUGAUGUGUUCAGCCUUCUUUACACUUAGUGGUGUUUGCUUCCGAUUUUCAUUUGUGGUCCCCCAAAGUGUCACUGAUCCAUAACACCCUCCUGUUUUGUUUGACUUUAGUGGCUUCUGAAAGCCAAACCUGUACCUCAAAACUCUGUUGUUCCUAUCUAUCAAAAAGAUAUAAAACAUGUAAAACAGUGCCUCAUUUUUCCUCUCUUUAUAGUUCCAUAUGAUGGGUUCUAGCCAAAAAAAAAAAAAAAAAAAUUUUUUUUCGAGUCUUGGUAGUAUUGCUGGUGUCUUCUAUUUCUCUAAGUGACAGAAAUGUCCAUAUGGCUCAAGUUCAAGGCUUUGGGGUUUGAAUGUCUGCUAUGUCUUAAAGCCAGUUAUAAAGUGGGAUGUCCCAGCUUUUGUCUCAAUAUCUGCAAACAGCCUUAAGUGAGAAAAGAAGCAAAUAAUUUUUCUGAAUUAAAAAGCUCCUCUGUUGUUGUUUUCUUUUUUUUCAGACAAAGGGCUAAGAACAUAUAAUUUUAUUACUAAAACCAAAACACCUCUUUUCCAUGGUCAGACAGUACACAUGGGGCUGGUUUUUUUGCCCUCAUCCUGUCUUUGGGUUCCCAGACCUUGCUAUUUCCUCCAGGCUAUGCUGCCUCCUGUGAGCAGUUCCCACGUCCACAGCAGGGUGCGUUGGCUCCCGUCACAAAAGAACAAGUCUCAUUCAAGCUGGCAGAAUCACAGAAUUUAAAGUGGACCCUGUCCACAAGCCAAGGACAGAAUGAUCAAUCCAGUGAGUUUCCUAUUAAGGAGGCUUCUACGUCAUUGCUUACUGACCAGGAAACUUACCUGUAUUAUAUUGUGUUAAUAAUUUGGCAACAAUUAUCCUCUGCAGACGAGGAUACUGUUUGAAUAAAACUAACAUGUGUGCCCCCCCA
rnacentral:lncRNA from 1 species